GUCUUUUUGAAAUAAUUUAAAGUCUAAUCUGCCCACUGAUAAAAUUAAAGGGCUGCAGUAUAAUGACUGUACAAAGGUAGCAUAAUCAUUAGUUUUUUAAUUGGAAACUUGUAUGAAAGAUUUGAUGAAAUAUAAGCUGUCUCUAAUUUAUUAAUUGAAUUUUAUUUUUUAGUAAAAAAGCUAAAAUAAAUUUAAAAGACGAGAAGACCCUAUAGAGUUUUAUAUUUUAUUUUAUUUAAAAAUUAUAUAAAAAUUAAUAUUUAAAUAAAAUUAAUUAUUUUAUUGGGGUGAUAGAAAAAUUAAAUGAACUUUUUUUAAAAAUUAAACAUAAAUAAAUGAUUAAAUGAUCCAUAAAUAAUGAUUAUAAGAAAAAAUUACCUUAGGGAUAACAGCGUAAUAUUUUUUUUUAGUUCAAAUAAAAAAAAAAGUUUGCGACCUCGAUGUUGGAUUAAGAUAAAAUUUAAAUGCAAAAGUUUAAAAUUUUGAUCUGUUCGAUCAUUAAAAUCUUACA
rnacentral:rRNA from 1 species